rnacentral:lncRNA from 1 species
UUGUUCUUGCGGUAUUAUGAGGAAAGCCUCGAUUUAUAUUAAAAAAAAAACGGCGAGGAACCACAAUUCUGUGAUUUGUUUCUUAAAAAUGUUCUCCUGGGAUCAUACCACCGAAUUAUUACAUGUUCACUAUGCAUUAUAAGUUGCCAGAAAUGUAGUGCGUUAGGAAAGAGGCGUCAGUUAUCUCCACUACCAAAACAGGACAAGGCCUCAAUUUGAAAAAGGCAAGACAACAUUUGAUUAAAAAAAAAAUACAAAUCUGUCCUUUAUUGCAGUGAACAUGUAGAGGCAAAAAGUCCAGACAGGUCAUUGUGACCAGAGGAGCAGUCGAAUCAGACUUCAGUCGUAUGGGAUACUACAGGGAGAAGAAACAAAAACCUUUUUAAUUGCACAUUUAUUGUCUGAAAUCCUACAGUAUGUCACUGCUCCAGGCAGAGCUGUUCAACUUCAACCAAACAAACAUUUGUGACUACAGGUAUAGAUUUGUUAGAGACCUGCCAGGCUGCAUUUUUAAACAUUAACGAGUGACCAUGCCAAACCACAACACUCAAAGUUCCUAGACCCUUGCACUGAAUCAGAUUCCUUGUGAAAACAUUUUUAAGAGCAAACGGUUUGGACCAUCCAAGUGGUUCCUUGUAUAAUCAUAACUCCCUUACCAGUAGUUCCAGUUUGGGCAGCCACAGCACCCUCACUUGCAUCAUCUUGCGAUUACGCACAAAUAGAAAGGGACACUGUCAAAAGGGGGGCGCAAACAUUCAAAGUGUUCCAUCAAAACAGACAUGCACUGAUGUCCUUACCGGUAGCUGCAGUGUGGUCAGAUGUAGUUGGGGGAUUUGGUGUUGGGGUGGUAGCUGCAGUGCGGUCAGAUGUAGUUGGUGGAUUUGGUGUUGGGGUGGUAGCCACAGCAUCAUCACUUGCAUCAUCAUCAUCUGCAUCAUCGUCACUUGCAUCAUCAUCUGCAUCAUCAUCAUCAUCUGAAUCAUCUUCACCUGCUCCAUCUCAGGAUAACCAUACAAAAGUGAACAUUUAACCAACACAAUCAAGACUCAACAGAACCCAAAAAAGAUCGUAAAAAAAAAAAAAAAAAAACCUCCACCAGCUUCAGUAGGGGCAGAUGUGGUCUGGUUGUGGGGAUUGGGUGUUGUGGCGACAACCACAUCAUCACUUUGGCGGUCCACAGCAUCUUCACUGGCCCCAUCUUGGGAUUCCACAUGAGUGAGGGGGCCAGAGAGAAGCCAAGGGACACACUUACACACAUUUUAUACAAAAACCAAACUUGCAGAAAACCACACAAAAACUAAAAAGAAACACCCUACCAGUAACUUCAGUUUGUGCAGAAGUUGUCUGGUUGUGUGGAUUAGGUGCUGGGGUAGUAGCCACAGCAUCUUCACUUGCUCCAUCUUAGGAUAAACAUACAAGAGUCAACAUUUAACAAACACAAUCAAGACUCAACAGAACCCAUAAAUAUCGUUAAAAGGAAACCUCACCACCAGCUUCAGUAGGGGCAGAGGUGGUCUGGUUGUGGGGAACGGCUGUUGUGGUGACAACCACAUCAUCACUUUGGCGGUCAACUGCAGAGGCCUUAAAGUUCACAUCUCUCUUCGGAAAACCGAAUGCUGAGGAAGACAAAGCGAGUGACUAUUUCAGACAGAAUUUCAAGAUAAAACACAACCAACAGAAACCAGAGGAAAACUUACCAUUACAGACACAAGCAAUGAGGACACACACAACCACCUUUGUAAAUGAAGCCAUGUUUAACAAUCAAUAAACAACAACGGAAGGGAUAACUCCA